rnacentral:rRNA from 1 species
AGAGUUUGAUCAUGGCUCAGGAUGAACGCUAGCGGCAGGCUUAACACAUGCAAGUCGAGGGGUAAAUAGUCGCAAUACUGGUGACGACCGGCGCACGGGUGCGGAACACGUACUGAACCUACCUUUAUCUGGGGCAUAGCCCGGAGAAAUCCGGAUUAACUCCCCAUAGUAUCAUUGGUUGGCAUCAUUUGAUGAUUAAAAAUUUAUUGGAUAAAGAUGGCAGUGCGUCCCAUUAGCUAGUUGGUAGGGUAACGGCCUACCAAGGCGACGAUGGGUAGCUGGUGUGAGAGCACGACCAGCCACACGGGCACUGAGACACGGGCCCGACUCCUACGGGAGGCAGCAGUGAGGAAUAUUGGUCAAUGGACGCAAGUCUGAACCAGCCAUGCCGCGUGAAGGAUGGAGGCCUUCUGGGUUGUAAACUUCUUUUAUCUGGGAAGAAAACUAAGGUUUCUACUUUAGCCGACGGUACCAGAGGAAUAAGCACCGGCUAACUCCGUGCCAGCAGCCGCGGUAAUACGGAGGGUGCAAGCGUUAUCCGGAUUUACUGGGUUUAAAGGGUGUGUAGGCGGGUCUUUAAGUCAGUGGUGAAAUCUCCGAGCUUAACUUGGAAACUGCCAUUGAUACUAUUGAUCUUGAAUUUUGUUGAGGUAGGCGGAAUAAGUCAUGUAGCGGUGAAAUGCAUAGAUAUGACUUAGAACACCAAUUGCGAAGGCAGCUUGCUAAACAAAUAUUGACGCUGAGGCACGAAAGCGUGGGGAUCAAACAGGAUUAGAUACCCUGGUAGUCCACGCCCUAAACGAUGAUUACUCGACAUACGCGAUACACAGUGUGUGUCUGAGCGAAAGCAUUAAGUAAUCCACCUGGGAAGUACGACCGCAAGGUUGAAACUCAAAGGAAUUGACGG